rnacentral:rRNA from 1 species
GACGAACGCUGGCGGCGUGCUUAACACAUGCAAGUCGAACGGUAAGGCCCUUCGGGGUACACGAGUGGCGAACGGGUGAGUAACACGUGGUGAUCUGCCCUGCACUUCGGGAUAAGCCUGGGAAACUGGGUCUAAUACCGGAUAGGACCAUGGACUUCACGGUUUGUGGUGGAAAGCUUUUGCGGUGUGGGAUGGGCCCGCGGCCUAUCAGCUUGUUGGUGGGGUAAUGGCCUACCAAGGCGACGACGGGUAGCCGGCCUGAGAGGGUGUCCGGCCACACUGGGACUGAGAUACGGCCCAGACUCCUACGGGAGGCAGCAGUGGGAAUAUUGCACAAUGGGCGCAAGCCUGAUGCAGCGACGCCGCGUGAGGGAUGACGGCCUCGGUGUAAACCUCUUCAAUAGGGACGAAGCGCAAGUGACGGUACCUAUAGAAGAAGCACCGGCCAACUACGUAGCCAGCAG